rnacentral:rRNA from 1 species
GAUCUGGCUCAGGAUGAACGCUAGCUACAGGCUUAACACAUGCAAGUCGAGGGGCAGCAUUUUAGUUUGCUUGCAAACUGAAGAUGGCGACCGGCGCACGGGUGAGUAACACGUAUCCAACCUGCCGAUAACUCCGGAAUAGCCUUUCGAAAGAAAGAUUAAUACCGGAUAGCAUACGAAUAUCGCAUGAUAUUUUUAUUAAAGAAUUUCGGUUAUCGAUGGGGAUGCGUUCCAUUAGUUUGG